UUUUACAUCGGUGUGUUGCCUCCUUGGUGGUGGAUUUUUGGGGCUCCUCAAACUGGGCAUAACAGGAACAGUAAGCCGCUCUGUGGCGAUUGGGAAGGGUCCUGCUGGAGCUCCUGAAGGGACUGGAGUUACGGAACGAUACCCACAAGAUCUCCAAGUCACAGGACACCCCAGAAGAGUUCCAGUGAAGAUCCAGAGAGGAUAGUGUACCAAUGACCAGAGGCUUUAAACCAGGCCAGUGUCAUUGCUGGUCAAGCUGAUGGGACAAGGGGCAUGCUAUACGACACACCAAAGCCUCCAAUGCCAUCAGGAUGGAUGAAGAGGUGAUGGAGAGAAGAAGCAGAGAUUUUGCUGGUUCAGCUCACACCAACCUGGGGGAGGAAGUGAACCAGACAGCCUGCAUGACGACAGAAAGGAAAGAGAGAACCCUUCCAAGGGACAAUGCCUUUUCCUGUCUCUGGAAGCUCCUCCUAUCCCCACACUGGUUUCUGCAUCUGCUCCUUGACCGUGUCCCUUUUCACAUCAAAGUGCCACUCCUCAGGCUUCACGAAGGGGGGCACAACCCGGCUGCUACAGGAAGGCCACUUCAUCCCAAAGGAAAGAGGAAAGCCAUGGGUUUGGCUUCUAUAAAAUGACAUACCUCUUGCCUUGUUUCUCAUUGUAUGAUUGCACUCCUAAGCAGUGUAGACUGGCCUCUAGCUUCUGUAAGCCAAGCAUUUAAGUUCUACGUGUUAUAGUUUAAGCUGAAAGCAAUAAAUAAACAAAUAAAUAA